rnacentral:rRNA from 1 species
GAUGAACGCUGGCGGCGUGCCUCAAACAUGCAAGUCGAGCGGGGCUAUGUAAUAUCGCAAGGUAGAACAUAGCCUAGCGGCGAACGGGUGAGUAACACGUGGGUAACCUGCCUGGAAGACAGGGAUAACGAUUCGAAAGGGUCGCUAAUACCUGAUAAUAUCCUUUCAUCGCAUGGUGAUAGGAAGAAAGGGGAAACCCGCUUUUCAGAUGGGCCCGCGUCCCAUCAGCUAGUUGGUAAGGUAAAGGCUUACCAAGGCGACGACGGGUAGCCGGUCUGAGAGGAUGUACGGCCACACUGGGACUGAGAUACGGCCCAGACUCCUACGGGAGGCAGCAGUUGGGAAUCUUAGGCAAUGGACGAAAGUCUGACCUAGCGACGCCGCGUGAGGGAAGAAGGCCUUCGGGUUGUAAACCUCUGUCAUGGGGAAGAAGUAAGUGACGGUACCCCAAGAGGAAGCCCCUGCUAACUACGUGCCAGCAGCCGACGGUAAAAGUACUCUAU